rnacentral:tmRNA from 1 species
GGGGGUGAUUGGUCUCGACGGGGACACCUAGGCGAGGUGGCAAGCGGAGCUUCCGGAUGCUCCUAAAACCCCGGAACGGCAAAAUAAAUGCCGACUAUGCAGCCGUUCCCGCCUACGCGCUGAACUAGCGUAGGCCAUCUCCGGGGCCAGAGCCCGCGGGGCCUCGGGGGUGUGGACCAAGCGGGCUAGCUUGGCUGUCGUGCCUCCCGGCAGCCAAGCGACAUCUAAGGAGGCUGGGGACUGAGCGAUCCUGCCCGUGGGAGCGCGAGGUCCGACCCCAAAAACACGGGAUAAGCUUGUAGAAGCCGAGCCGAUGGUGUUUCCGGACGCGGGUUCGAAUCCCGCCACCUCCACCA